rnacentral:rRNA from 1 species
GAUGAACGCUGGCGGCGUGCCUAAUACAUGCAAGUCGAGCGAACAGACGAGGAGCUUGCUCCUCUGACGUUAGCGGCGGACGGGUGAGUAACACGUGGAUAACCUACCUAUAAGACUGGGAUAACUUCGGGAAACCGGAGCUAAUACCGGAUAAUAUAUUGAACCGCAUGGUUCAAUAGUGAAAGACGGUUUUGCUGUCACUUAUAGAUGGAUCCGCGCCGCAUUAGCUAGUUGGUAAGGUAACGGCUUACCAAGGCAACGAUGCGUAGACGACCUGAGAGGGUGAUCGGCCACACUGGAACUGAGACACGGUCCAGACUCCUACGGGAGGCAGCAGUAGGGAAUCUUCCGCAAUGGGCGAAAGCCUGACGGAGCAACGCCGCGUGAGUGAUGAAGGUCUUCGGAUCGUAAAACUCUGUUAUUAGGGAAGAACAAAUGUGUAAGUAAAUAUGCACGUCUUGACGGUACCUAAUCAGAAAGCCACGGCUAACUACGUG